UACGUAGGGUGCGAGCGUUCAUCGGAAUUACUGGGCGUAAAGCGUGCGCAGGCGGUUAUUUAAGUCAGGUGUGAAAGCCCUGGGCUUAACCUAGGAAUUGCGCUUGAGACUGGAUAGCUUGGAGUGCGGCAGAGGGAGGUGGAAUUCCACGUGUAGCAGUGAAAUGCGUAGAUAUCAGGAGGAACACCGAUGGCGAAGGCAGGUCUCUGGGCCGACACUGACGCUCAUGCACGAAAGCGUGGGGAGCAAACAGG
rnacentral:rRNA from 1 species